rnacentral:tRNA from 1 species
AGACAACAAAAUGUUAAAUAUUAUUAUUUUGUCACCUUAGGUCGAUCGGUAUCUCACGUUUUUAAUUUAUUAAGAAUUUCAUUUCCUAAGUUUUUCUAGGUCACACCCAUUAUUUUUCCUGGGCCAUUAGCUCAGGUGGUUAGAGCGCACCCCUGAUAAGGGUGAGGUCCCUGGUUCAAGUCCAGGAUGGCCCAUAUCUCUAUGUUGGGGGUAUAGCUCAGUUGGUAGAGCGCCUGCUUUGCAAGCAGGAUGUCAGCGGUUCGAGUCCGCUUACCUCCACUGAUUACCACCUCUUCCAUAACCGGUAGAAAGGAAAUGUUUUGAGUUGUGAUCAAAUCCUGAAAGAAUCUAGCUUCCUAAUGAAAUCAUUAAGAUGCUGGACUCAUUGAAUUAACUUCAUUGUUUUCAGAGAACCUUGACAACUGCAUAGAUUAUUUUUAAAGACAAUAAGCAUCUUUAAUGAUGCAGAUUUAUUAUUUGUGCGAAUGCAUUAAUAACAAUUCUAUUAAGCUGAUGCUUCAAUUUUUGAAGUUAUU